GUUCACGCCGUAACGAUGUCAACUAGCCGUUGGUCCUAUUUACAGGAUUAGUGGCGCAGCUAACGCAUUAAGUUGACCGCCUGGGGAGUACGGCCGCAAGGUUAAACUCAAAUGAAUUGACGGGGCCCGCACAAGCGGUGGAGCAUGUGGUUUAAUUCGAUGCAACGCGAAGAACCUUACCUACCCUUGACAUCCAGAGAAUCUGUUAGAGAUAGUGGAGUGCCUUCGGGAACUCUGAGACAGGUGCUGCAUGGCUGUCGU
rnacentral:rRNA from 1 species